rnacentral:rRNA from 1 species
AUUGAACGCUGGCGGCAGGCCUAACACAUGCAAGUCGAACGAGUGGCGGACGGGUGAGUAAUGUCUGGGAAACUGCCUGAUGGAGGGGGAUAACUACUGGAAACGGUAGCUAAUACCGCAUACCAUCGGAUGUGCCCAGAUGGGAUUAGCUAGUGGGUGGGGUAACGGCUCACCAAGGCGACGAUCCCUAGCUGGUCUGAGAGGAUGACCAGCCACACGGGAACUGAGACACGGUCCAGACUCCUACGGGAGGCAGCAGUGGGGAAUAGUGCACAAUGGGCGCAAGCCUGAUGCAGCCAUGCCGCGUGUAUGAAGAAGGCCUUCGGGUUGUAAAGUACUUUCAGCGGGGAGGCGUUACCCGCAGAAGAAGCACCGGCUAACUCCGUGCCAGCAGCCGCGGUAAUUC